UGCAUAUCCAAUAAGCGGAGGAAAAGAAACCAACAGGGAUUGCCUUAGUAGCGGCGAGUGAAGCGGCAAAAGCUCAAAUUUGAAAUCUGGCACUUUCAGUGUCCGAGUUGUAAUUUGAAGAAGGUAUCUUUGGGUCUGGCUCUUGUCUAUGUUUCUUGGAACAGAACGUCACAGAGGGUGAGAAUCCCGUGCGAUGAGAUGUCCCAGACCUAUGUAAAGUUCCUUCGAAGAGUCGAGUUGUUUGGGAAUGCAGCUCUAAGUGGGUGGUAAAUUCCAUCUAAAGCUAAAUAUUGGCGAGAGACCGAUAGCGAACAAGUACAGUGAUGGAAAGAUGAAAAGAACUUUGAAAAGAGAGUGAAAAAGUACGUGAAAUUGUUGAAAGGGAAGGGCUUGAGAUCAGACUUGGUAUUUUGUAUGUUACUCUCUCGGGGGUGGCCUCUACAGUUUACCGGGCCAGCAUCAGUUUGAGCGGUAGGAUAAGUGCAAAGAAAUGUGGCACUGCUUCGGUAGUGUGUUAUAGUCUUUGUCGAUACUGCCAGCUUAGACUGAGGACUGCGGCUUCGGCCUAGGAUGUUGGCAUAAUGAUCUUAAGUCGCCCGUCUUGAACCACGG
rnacentral:rRNA from 1 species